rnacentral:pre_miRNA from 1 species
UGUCCCUCUCGGGUCUUUUUGCGGUCUGGGCUUGCUGUUCCUCCCGCAGCACUCAGGAAGCCCUUACCCCAAAAAGUAUCUGCGGGGGGUCA